AUUAACUGGUAAAAGGAACUGUUUGAACAUUAUCAAAAGAGUUUGGGUGAAUUAUUUCCUGGUACUUAAAACAAAGAUUCGAACAGAUAUGAUGGUCAAUCCUAUUAUCAUAUACAUUUACUCUAUUCUUGGCGUCGUUUAUAUAUGUCAUGGGCAUAAUACCUGGAUGUGCACAACAAACACGGAUAUGGUAAUGACAAACUUUUGCUCAAAAGAAAUUGAAGAGAAAAUUCGUUCAUUAGAAUUUCAGGUACAACAACUGCAGAGACUUGUUCAAGAACAAAAUGCUUCUUCGUUUACAACAAUAGAAGGCUUCCCAAAAGACUGCUCAGAGAUAUAUAGGAACGGUACAAGAACAGACGGAGUUUACUCUAUCUCACCAGAUGGAAGAUGUCCGUUUUUUGUAUAUUGCGACAUGACCAAUGGGGGCUG